CUACGGGAGGCAGCAGUGGGGAAUAUUGCGCAAUGGGCGAAAGCCUGACGCAGCGACGCCGCGUGGGUGAUGAAGGCCUUCGGGUCGUAAAGCCCUGUCGGGAGGGACGAAACCUCGGCGACCUAAUACGUCGUCGACCUGACGGUACCUCCGAAGGAAGCACCGGCUAACUCCGUGCCAGCAGCCGCGGUAAUACGGAGGGUGCAAGCGUUGUUCGGAAUCACUGGGCGUAAAGCGCGUGUAGGCGGCCUUGUAAGUCUGGUGUGAAAGCCCGGGGCUCACCCCCGGAAGUGCACUGGAAACUGCAAGGCUUGAGUACCGGAGAGGAGGGUGGAAUUCCUGGUGUAGCGGUGAAAUGCGUAGAUAUCAGGAGGAACACCGGUGGCGAAGGCGGCCCUCUGGACGGAUACUGACGCUGAGGCGCGAAAGCUAGGGGAGCAAACAGGAUUAGAUACCCUGGUAGUCCUAGCUGUAAACGAUGAGUACUAGGUGUCGGGGGUUACCCCCCUCGGUGCCGCAGCUAACGCAUUAAGUACUCCGCCUGGGAAGUACGCUCGCAAGAGUGAAACUCAAAGGAAUUGACGG
rnacentral:rRNA from 1 species